CCUACGGGAGGCAGCAGUGGGGGAUAUUGCACAAUGGGGGGAACCCUGAUGCAGCGACGCCGCGUGGGUGAAGGAGUGCUUCGGCAUGUAAAGCCCUAUCGGCAGGGAAGAAGCAAGACGGUACCUGACUAAGAAGCCCCGGCUAACUACGUGCCAGCAGCCGCGGUAAUACGUAGGGGGCGAGCGUUAUCCGGAUUCACUGGGUGUAAAGGGAGCGUAGACGGCCAUGCAAGCCAGGGGUGAAAGCCCGGGGCCCAACCCCGGGACUGCCCUUGGAACUGCAUGGCUGGAGUGCGGGAGGGGCAGGCGGAAUUCCUGGUGUAGCGGUGAAAUGCGGAGAUAUCAGGAGGAACACCGGCGGCGAAGGCGGCCUGCUGGACUGCGACUGACGUUGAGGCUCGAAAGCGUGGGGAGCAAACAGGAUUAGAUACCCCAGUAGUC
rnacentral:rRNA from 1 species